UACGAAGGGGGCUAGCGUUGUUCGGAAUCACUGGGCGUAAAGCGCACGUAGGCGGAUUGUUAAGUCGGGGGUGAAAUCCCGAGGCUCAACCUCAGAACUGCCUUCGAUACUGGCAAUCUCGAGUCCGGAAGAGGUUGGUGGAACAGCUAGUGUAGAGGUGAAAUUCGUAGAUAUUAGCUAGAACACCAGUGGCGAAGGCGGCCAACUGGUCCGGUACUGACGCUGAGGUGCGAAAGCGUGGGGAGCAAACAGG
rnacentral:rRNA from 1 species